CCCACCACAGAGGGUCAGCCUUUAUAGGGAGGACUUUCGGCUCACCAUAUCCCACAGUGCCGUUCUCCAGGCACUGGCGGGAAAACAAACCAAGCGCAGUUCACGACGAGGAGGGCUGAGAAGAUGGCGGUGGCGGUCUGGGAAGGAGAGGACAGAAGUUGCGAGGGCAGAGGGAAGACUGGGCAGGGACCGCAGGGAGAAGGACAUCUUUCAGUUGCUUGUGGGCAGCUGGUGGUUGUGACAGAGCUUUCCUUGCUUGUGCAUGGAUGACCUUGGAUAUUAUUCUUGGCGUGACUGGACAACUGCAAUCUCUUGAUGUCUCCAGUCAAAAGGUAUUUAAGAACCAUUUGAAAAAGUAGUAUCUUCAUUGUCUUUAAAAAAAAAAAA